rnacentral:sRNA from 1 species
UAAAAAGUUAAAUGAAGGUGAAUUGUUGUUGUGAAAUAAAAACCUAACAGGUCCUUUUAAUAGAAUAAACUUAAAAUUAAUUGUUGGAGUUCAUGUCUUUUGUCACUAAAGAAUUCAACCAGUAGAAAUGUAACUCUGAAAAAAAAUUAUUUUCCAAAAUGUUCUGUUAUUUAAAGUCUUUUUGUCUCAUGUUAUGUGGUAAUAUGGUAAUAUCCUAGUGAAUCAGUAUUAGCAUACAGUUCCCUCUGUUUAUUGUUGUAUUCUUUCUCUCCCUCUUCAAGACUCAAUGAUGAGGCACGGCGGCUCAUUGCUGAAUUGGGGAGCACAUCUAUUACUAAUCUUGGUUUUAGAGACAACUGGGUCUUCUGUGGUGGGAAGGGCAUUAAGACAAAAAGCCCUUUUGAACAGCACAUAAAGAACAAUAAGGAUACAAACAAAUAUGAAGGAUGGCCUGAAGUUGUAGAAAUGGAAGGAUGCAUCCCCCAGAAGCAAGACUAAUGGAAAUGUGGAGAGAAUUGAAGAAAGCGCACUUUCACUAUUAAUGGGAGAGCUAUAAAUGGCAGAGCUAUGUGUAAA